UCGCGGUUAAAAAGCUCGUAGUUGGAUUUCUGCUUGGGGCAACCGGUCCGCCCUCUGGGUGAGUAUCUGGCUUGGCCCGGGCAUCUUCUUGGGGAACGUUACUGCACUUGACUGUGUGGUGCGGAGCCCAGGACCUUUACUUUGAGGAAAUUAGAGUGUUUCAAGCAGGCAUUUGCCUUGAAUACAUUAGCAUGGAAUAAUAAGAUAGGACCUCGUCCCUACCUUGUUGGUUCGUAUGGAUGAGGUAAUGAUUAAUAGGGAUAGUCGGGGGCAUUCGUACUUAACUGUCAGAGGUGAAAUUCUUGGAUUUGUUAAAGACGGACUACUGCGA
rnacentral:rRNA from 1 species